UGAAACCGUGUGCUUACAAGCCGUUAUAGCCCCUUUUGUGUGGGGUGGUGGCGUGCCUUUUGAAGAAUGAGCCUGCGAGUUAGUGUUUUGUCGCGAGGUUAACCCGUGUGGGGUAGUCGUAGCGAAAGCGAGUCUGAAUAGGGCGUUGUAGUGGCAGGAUCUAGACCCGAAGCGGAGUGAUCUAUCCAUGGCCAGGUUGAAGCACGUGUAAGAGCGUGUGGAGGACCGAACCCACCUAGGUUGAAAACUGGGGGGAUGAGCUGUGGAUAGGGGUGAAAGGCCAAUCAAACUCUGUGAUAGCUGGUUCUCCCCGAAAUGCAUUUAGGUGCAGCGUUACAUGUUUCUUGCUGGAGGUAGAGCUACUGGAUGGCCGAUGGGCCCGCGAGGGUUACUGACGUUAGCUAAACUCCGAAUGCCGGUAAGUGAGAGUGUAGCAGUGAGACAGUGGGGGAUAAGCUUCAUUGUCGAGAGGGAAACAGCCCAGACCAUCAACUAAGGCCCCUAAGCGUGUGCUAAGUGGGAAAGGAUGUGGAGUUGCUGAGACAACCAGGAGGUUGGCUUAGAAGCAGCCAUCCUUGAAAGAGUGCGUAAUAGCUCACUGGUCAAGUGAUUCUGCGCCGAUAAUGUAGCGGGGCUCAAGUACACCGCCGAAGUUGUGGCAAUCAGUCUUUGUGGCUGGUUGGGUAGGGGAGCGUCCUGCACGAGGUGAAGCUGCCACGGGAGUGUGUGGUGGAUUGUGUGGGAGUGAGAAUGCAGGCAUGAGUAGCGAAUCACGGGUGAGAAACCCGUGCGCCGGAUGAUCAAGGGUUCCAGGGUCAAGUUAAUCUGCCCUGGGUUAGUCGGGGCCUAAGGCGAGGCCGACAGGCGUAGUCGAUGGAUAACGGGUUGAUAUUCCCGUACCAGUGAAGGACCGUCCAUACUGAUAUUGUGAUGCUAACCAUGCCGAUCACGGUGUCAUGAAGUUUUUCUUUGUGGUGUUGUGGGGUGUGUGGGACCCAAGCUUUGGAGGUAAGCGUGUUAACAGGUGUGACGCAGGAAGGUAGCCAAGCCACGCGGUGGUUGUCGUGGUCUAAGCGUGUAGGAUGACUGGUUGUUAAAUGCGCCGGUUGUGUGUCUGAGACGUGAUGGGACCCCUUGUUUGUGGGGGAUUUGGUGAUCCUAUGCUGCCGAGAAAAGCAUCGGCGUGAGGUUUUAGCUGCCCGUACCCGAAACCGACACAGGUGAUCAGGUAGAGAAUACUAAGGCGAUCGAGAGAAUCAUGGUUAAGGAACUCGGCAAAAUGCCCCCGUAACUUCGGGAGAAGGGGGGCCCUGAGCGUGAUCUGCCCGUGCGGUGGGGAGCGUGUAGGGGUCGCAGAGACCAGGGGGAAGCGACUGUUUAUCAAAAACACAGGUCCGUGCGAAGUCGUAAGACGAGGUAUACGGACUGACUCCUGCCCGGUGCUGGAAGGUUAAGAGGAUUGGUUAGCCCUGUGUGGGCGAAGCUGAGAAUUUAAGCCCCAGUAAACGGCGGUGGUAACUAUAACCAUCCUAAGGUAGCGAAAUUCCUUGUCGGGUAAGUUCCGACCUGCACGAAUGGAGUAACGACUUCCCUACUGUCUCAACCAUGAACUCGGUGAAAUUGCAGUACGAGUAAAGAUGCUCGUUUCGCGCAGCAGGACGGAAAGACCCCGUGACCUUUACUAUAGUUUGGUAUUGGUGUUUGGGUUGGCUUGUGUAGGAUAGGUGGGAGACUGUGAAGCCGUCACGCUAGUGGUGGUGGAGUCGUUGUUGAAAUACCACUCUGGUCAAUCUGGAUGUCUAACUUCGGGCCAUGAUCUGGUUCAGGGACAGUGCCUGAUGGGUAGUUUAACUGGGGCGGUUGCCUCCUAAAGUGUAACGGAGGCGCCCAAAGGUUCCCUCAGCCUGGUUGGCAAUCAGGUGUUGAGUGUAAGUGCACAAGGGAGCUUGACUGUGAGAGUGGCGACUCGAGCAGGGACGAAAGUCGGGACUAGUGAUCCGGCAGUGGCUUGUGGAAGCGCUGUCGCUCAACGGAUAAAAGGUACCUCGGGGAUAACAGGCUGAUCUUGCCCAAGAGUCCAUAUCGACGGCAUGGUUUGGCACCUCGAUGUCGGCUCGUCGC
rnacentral:rRNA from 1 species